GUGCAGUGUGUGUUUGUGCAGUGUGUGUUUGUGCAGUGUGUGUUUGUGCAGUGUGUGUUUGUGCAGUGUGUGUUUGUGCAGUGUGUGUUUGUGCAGUGUGUGUUUGUGCAGUGUGUGUUUGUGCAGUGUGUGUUUGUGCAGUGUGUAUGUAAUGCAGUGUGUGUGCCUGUGUAGUGUGUGUGUGUAUGUAAUGCAGUAUGUGUACUGUGUUUGUGUAGUGUGUAUGUAAUGCAGUGUGUGUGUAGUGUGUGUUUGUGGUGUGUGUAGUGUGUCUGUGUAGUGUGU